rnacentral:rRNA from 1 species
GAGUUUGAUCCUGGCUCAGAUUGAACGCUGGCGGCAGGCCUAACACAUGCAAGUCGAGCGGUAAGAGAGCUUGCUCUCGACGAGCGGCGGACGGGUGAGUAAUGUCUGGGAAACUGCCUGAUGGAGGGGGAUAACUACUGGAACCGGUAGCUAAUACCGCAUAAUGUCGCAAGACCAAAGUGGUUCGUCAUGCCAUCAGAUGUGCCCAGAUGGGAUUAGCUAGUAGGUGGGGUAACGGCUCACCUAGGCGACGAUCCCUAGCUGGUCUGAGAGGAUGACCAGCCACACUGGAACUGAGACACGGUCCAGACUCCUACGGGAGGCAGCAGUGGGGAAUAUUGCACAAUGGGCGCAAGCCUGAUGCAGCCAUGCCGCGUGUGUGAAGAAGGCCUUCGGGUUGUAAAGCACUUUCAGCGGGGAGGAAGGCGAUAAGUAAUCUUGUCGAUUGACGUUACCCGCAGAAGAAGCACCGGCUAACUCCGUGCCAGCAGCCGCGGUAAUACGGAGGGUGCAAGCGUUAAUCGGAAUUACUGGGCGUAAAGCGCACGCAGGCGGUCUGUCAAGUCGGAUGUGAAAUCCCCGGGCUCAACCUGGGAACUGCAUUCGAAACUGGCAGGCUAGAGUCUUGUAGAGGGGGGUAGAAUUCCAGGUGUAGCGGUGAAAUGCGUAGAGAUCUGGAGAAAUACCGGUGGCGAAGGCGGCCCCCUGGACAAGACUGACGCUCAGGUGCGAAAGCGUGGGGAGCAAACAGGAUUAGAUACCCUGGUAGUCCACGCUGUAAACGAUGUCGACUUGGAGGUUGUGCCCUUGAGGCGUGGCUUCCGGAGCUAACGCGUUAAGUCGACCGCCUGGGGAGUACGGCCGCAAGGUUAAAACUCAAAUGAAUUGACGGGGGCCCGCACAAGCGGUGGAGCAUGUGGUUUAAUUCGAUGCAACGCGAAGAACCUUACCUACUCUUGACAUCCAGAGAAUUUAGCAGAGAUGCUUUAGUGCCUUCGGGAACUCUGAGACAGGUGCUGCAUGGCUGUCGUCAGCUCGUGUUGUGAAAUGUUGGGUUAAGUCCCGCAACGAGCGCAACCCUUAUCCUUUGUUGCCAGCGCGUAAUGGUGGGAACUCAAAGGAGACUGCCGGUGAUAAACCGGAGGAAGGUGGGGAUGACGUCAAGUCAUCAUGGCCCUUACGAGUAGGGCUACACACGUGCUACAAUGGCAUAUACAAAGAGAAGCGAACUCGCGAGAGCAAGCGGACCUCAUAAAGUAUGUCGUAGUCCGGAUUGGAGUCUGCAACUCGACUCCAUGAAGUCGGAAUCGCUAGUAAUCGUAGAUCAGAAUGCUACGGUGAAUACGUUCCCGGGCCUUGCACUCACUGCCCGUCAA